CGUGGCGACCGGCGCACGGGUGCGUAACGCGUAUGCAACCUACCCAUAACAGGGGGAGUAACACUGAGAAAUUGGUACUAAUACCCCAUAACAUCAGGACCGGCAUCGGUUCUGGUUGAAAACUCCGGUGGUUAUGGAUGGGCAUGCGUUGUAUUAGCUGGUUGGUGAGGUAACGGCUCACCAAGGCAACGAUACAUAGGGGGACUGAGAGGUUAACCCCCCACAUUGGUACUGAGACACGGACCAA
rnacentral:rRNA from 1 species